rnacentral:rRNA from 1 species
GAUGAACGCUGGCGGCGUGCUUAACACAUGCAAGUCGAACGGACAGGCCCUGAUUUUGUGGGGUGCUCGAGUGGCGAACGGGUGAGUAACACGUGAGUAACCUGCCCUUGACUUUGGGAUAACUUCUGGAAACUGGGGCUAAUACAGGGUAUGAGCUCCUGCUGCAUGGUGGGGGUUGGAAAGUUUCGGCGGUUGGGGAUGGACUCGCGGCUUAUCAGCUUGUUGGUGGGGUAGUGGAAUACCAAGGCUUUGACGGGUAGCCGGCCUGAGAGGGUGAACGGCCACAUUGGGACUGAGAGACGGCCCAGACUCCUACGGGAGGCAGCAGUGGGGAAUAUUGCACAAUGGGCGGAAGCCUGAUGCAGCAACGCCGCGUGCGGGAUAACGGGUUUCGGGUUGUAAACCGCUUUCGCCUGUGACGAAGCGUGAUUGACGGUAAUGGGUAAAGAAGCACCGGCUAACUACGUG